UCAUUUUUAAUAAUUGUAAAAUGUAUUCCCUGCCCAAUGUAAAGUAAAUGGCCGCAGUAUAAAUGACUGUGUUAAGGUAGCAUAAUUACUUGUUAUUUUAUUAAUGACUUGUUUGAAAGGGUUAAUACGAGAAAUUUUGUUUUUGUGUUUUUUUUUGAAUCUUUGAUUCCGGUAAAAACACUGGAAAUUGUAAAUAAGACGAGAAGACCCCAUCAAGGUUUACAUUUUAUGUUGAAUGGGAAAUUUAAGGUUUUUAUAACUUUUUUUUGAACUAAAUUUAAGUAGAGAAAAAACUUACUGUGGGGAUAACAGGGUUAUUUUUUUUAGAGUUUUUAUCUAAAAAAAUGUUUGCUACCUCGAUGUUGAAUCAAAAUUUCUUUUUGGUAUAGAGGCUAAAAUAGUGUGUCUGUUCGACAUUAAAAAUUUUACG
rnacentral:rRNA from 1 species